GAAUGUCACUUUCAGAAUAGGAAUAAUACUAGCAUCAAAGUUAGAUAAAUAUUCCAUUUUGAAAACUUACCAUUAACACCCAAAUCUUUGUAAUUUCUCUAUCUAAUAACGCGCAAAACACACUGAGUGCGUGCGAUUGAUCGAUUCUCCCCUGAGCUGCCGCGAUUCCCGCAAUGGAAGAUCGCAAUAGGCCUGUCACAGGCUAUCCCGCCCCCAAUUCGCAGCCCAACGGCUACUCAGCCGCCGCCGCCGCUCCACCGCCGGCCGGCACCGCUUAUCCUUACGCCUCCGCGGCUCCUCCCUACCCCUACCCCUACCAGCAGCAGAACUACCAGUACGACGCCGAGUCGAUCCGCCGCGCCACCUGCCUCCGCCGCAUCUUCGCCUUUGUGAUCGGCCUCGUCGUCAGCUUCGGCACUGUCACCUUCAUAGUCUGGCUCGUUCUCCGCCCCCAGCUCCCCGAGUUCCGAGUCGACUCGUUCUCCAUCUCCAAUUUCACGCUCGGCAACGACUCGCUCACCUUCACCUCUGAAAUCAAGCUGACCGCCAGAAACCCUAACAAAAAGAUGAAGCUCGGCUACGAUCACAUCGACACCGCGAUUUACUACCAAUCCUACUCCCUCUCCGAGACUACCGUCGCGCCGUUCUACCAGGGCACGAAGAACGAGACCUCUCUGACGGCGAGAUUCGCCGCCGCCGGGAGAUUUCUGGAUAAGGCGGCGGUGGAUGGGAUUAGUGGCGAGAGGGGGAAGAAUGACAAUGUGAACUUCAAUGUGAGGAUGAUUUCUAGGGUUAAAUUUGAGGCGAAGGCGUGGAGAACUCGGAGGAGGUUUCUCAAGGUUUUCUGCGGGGAUCUGGUCCUUGGACUACCGGCCACCGGGAGAUCGGGGGUUUUAAGCGGCGGACCAAGGCAGUGCCGCGUCGGGAUUUGAGCUUUCUCAGUAGUUGGAACUUGGAAGAUAUCCAAAAGCGAGCAGGCAUGACUUUAUAUUGAUCGAUUGAGCAAUACCCCAAUGGUUGCUAAUGCUACUACAUGGAUAAACAACAAUAAUUACAAAUAGAAAUGCAAAUAGGGCGGUUUUCCCAGGAUGGUGCAGGCUAUAAUGUUUCAACUCGGAUCUUGUUUCGUUUUCUCAACAGUUUCCAGACAUUCUUUCGCUCUGACCACCUUUGAUUGUAGAUAGAAACUGCCACUUUGAGUAUUCCUCU